rnacentral:piRNA from 1 species
UUGUUAUCAGGCAUAUGCUGCACAAAGACC